rnacentral:rRNA from 1 species
GAUGAACGCUAGCUACAGGCUUAACACAUGCAAGUCGAGGGGCAGCAUGACCUAGCAAUAGGUUGAUGGCGACCGGCGCACGGGUGAGUAACACGUAUCCAACCUGCCGAUUAUUCCGGGAUAGCCUUUCGAAAGAAAGAUUAAUACUGGAUAGCAUAACGAGAAGGCAUCUUCUUGUGAUUAAAGAAUUUCGAUAAUCGAUGGGGAUGCGUUCCAUUAGUUUGUUGGCGGGGUAACGGCCCACCAAGACAUCGAUGGAUAGGGGUUCUGAGAGGAAGGUCCCCCACAUUGGAACUGGGACACGGUCCAAACUCCUACGGGAGGCAGCAGUGAGGAAUAUUGGUCAAUGGACGAGAGUCUGAACCAGCCAAGUAGCGUGAAGGAUGACUGCCCUAUGGGUUGUAAACUUCUUUUAUAUGGGAAUAAAGUGGGCCACGUGUGGCUUUUUGUAUGUACCAUACGAAUAAGGAUCGGCUAACUCCGUG